GAUGAACGCUAGCUACAGGCUUAACACAUGCAAGUCGAGGGGAAACGAUAUUGGAAGCUUGCUUCCGAUAGGCGUCGACCGGCGCACGGGUGAGUAACGCGUAUCCAACCUGCCCAUCACUUGGGGAUAACCUUGCGAAAGUAAGACUAAUACCCAAUGACGUCUCUAGAAGACAUCUGAAAGAGAUUAAAGAUUUAUCGGUGAUGGAUGGGGAUGCGUCUGAUUAGGUAGUAGGCGGGGUAACGGCCCACCUAGCCAACGAUGGAUAGGGGUUCUGAGAGGAAGGUCCCCCCANAUUGGAACUGAGACACGGUCCAAACUCCUACGGGAGGCAGCAGUGAGGAAUAUUGGUCAAUGGACGAGAGUCUGAACCAGCCAAGUAGCGUGAAGGAUGAAGGUCCUACGGAUUGUAAACUUCUUUUAUAAGGGAAUAAACCCUCCCACGUGUGGGAGCUUGUAUGUACCUUAUGAAUAAGCAUCGGCUAACUCCGUG
rnacentral:rRNA from 1 species